rnacentral:rRNA from 1 species
CACUCAUUUAAAGAGUGCGUAAUAGCUCACUGGUCGAGUGAUCCUGCGCCGAAAAUUUCCGGGGCUAAAACGUACUACCGAAGCUACGGCAUCAUUUAUGAUGGGUAGGGGAGCUUCGUAUGCAGGCUGAAGCAUGACCGUAAGGACAUGUGGACAGUAUACGAGUGAGAAUGUUGGCAUGAGUAGCGAGACGUGGGUGAGAAUCCCACGGGCCGUAAACCCAAGGUUUCCAGGGGAAGGUUCGUCCGCCCUGGGUUAGUCGGGACCUAAGCCGAGGCCGAAAGGCGUAGGUGAUGGACAACAGGUUGAUAUUCCUGUACCGCCAAUAAGCGUUUGAGAGAUGGAGUGACACAGUAGGAUAAGCUAACCGUACUGUUGGUUAUGUACGGCUAAGCAUUGAGGCAGUCUAAAUAGGCAAAUCCGUUUAGACAAUGCUAGGAUGUGAUGGGGAAGCCCUUCGGGGCGAAGUAGCUGAUUUCACACUGUCAAGAAAAGCUUCUAUCGAGUUUAAAGGCGCCCGUACCGUAAACCGACACAGGUGGGUGAGGAGAGUAUCCUAAGGCCAGCGAGAGAACUAUUGUUAAGGAACUCGGCAAAAUGACCCCGUAACUUAGGGAGAAGGGGUGCCUGUCUAUGACAGGCCGCAGAGAAUAGGCCCAAGCGACUGUUUACCAAAAACACAGGUUUCUGCUAAGUCGCAAGACGAUGUAUAGGAGCUGACGCCUGCCCGGUGCUGGAAGGUUAAGGGGAUCUGUUAGAGCAAUCGAAGCAGUGAACUUAAGCCCCAGUAAACGGCGGCCGUAACUAUAACGGUCCUAAGGUAGCGAAAUUCCUUGUCGGGUAAGUUCCGACCCGCACGAAAGGCGUAACGAUUUGGGCACUGUCUCAACAAUAGACUCGGUGAAAUUGUAAUCCCGGUGAAGAUGCCGGGUACCUGCGACAGGACGGAAAGACCCCAUGGAGCUUUACUGUAGCUUGACGUUGGGUCUUGGUACUACAUGUACAGGAUAGGUGGGAGACUAUGAAGCAUGGACGCCAGUCUGUGUGGAGUCAUCCUUGGGAUACCACCCUUGUAGUACUGGGAUCCUAACCAUAGGCCUUGAAUCAGGUCUUGGAACACCGUCAGGUGGGCAGUUUGACUGGGGCGGUCGCCUCCUAAAAAGUAACGGAGGCGCUCAAAGGUUUCCUCAGCACGGUCGGAAAUCGUGCGAAGAGUGUAAAGGCAAAAGGAAGCUUGAUUGCAAGACAUACAGGUCGAGCAAGGACGAAAGUCGGACUUAGUGAUCCGGUGGUACCGCAUGGAAGGGCCAUCGCUCAACGGAUAAAAGCUACCCUGGGGAUAACAGGCU